GGGUUCAUAGCUCAGCCGGUUCAGAGCACCUGCCUUACAAGCAGGGGGUCACAGGUUCGAAUCCUGUUGAACCCACUA
rnacentral:tRNA from 1 species